CAGAGGACUCAUCGAAAAGGUGCCGCCGCGGCGUAAUCCGCGAACGGGAUCGGGAUGAAUUCAGGGAAACCUCAGCGGCACGGCCGGUGGCAACCCUGAGCCAAGCCGUCGGUACACCGACGGAAGGUGCAGAGACUACCUGGGGACUUCAGUGUCCUUGAUCACAGGCUAGAGCGUCCCGCGCCCCACCCGUUCACGCGAACGGAGGGCGAAGAGAUAGUCCGCGCCGGAGGGAAACCUUCGG
rnacentral:ncRNA from 1 species